rnacentral:lncRNA from 1 species
CAACGUUGCUCCCAGUGUGCACUCUUAUACUGCUUUAAUUGCUGCGCUUUAUAAAGAGAAUCGGUUAGCAGAAGUAGAUGUCUUGUACAAUAAGAUGUUGGAUAAUGGAUUGGUUCCUGACCAUGUUUUGUUUUUUACCUUGGUCAACAAUCAUCCAAGAGGGUAAUCGGUUAGCAGAAGAGAUGUCUUGUACAAUAAGAUGUUGGAUAAUGGGUUGGUUCCUGACCAUGUUUUGUUUUUUACCUUGGUCAACAAUCAUCCAAGAGGGUCAGAGAUUACUCUAGCACGCACCUUUUUGCGGGCAAUUGCCAAGAAUGGUUGUGGUAUUGACUUGUCUAACAUCCCUAGCCCUACCAGUCGAAAAGUUAUUACAGACAUCAUGUCUGAUAUUGAUCAUCUCUUGGGAGAAAUUGUGGCAAGAAACUUACCUCUGGCCAAUGUUGCUUUCAAUAUAUACAUGAUUGCUUUAUGUUUAGGAGGAAAAGAUUAUGCUCUUCUUUGCAUGGACAAUAUGGCAAGCUUAUCUCUUCAGCCUUCACUGUCAGCUUAUAACUCUAUGAUCAAGUGCCUUUACCAAAACGGAUUACUUGAGGAUGCCAAAUCCUUUGUUGAAGUUAUACAAGAUCAAGGUAAGUUCCUAAUCAAGCAACAUUCUUGAUUAUGGUGAAUGAAUACUGCAAACAGGGUGACAUACAAUCAGCAUUU